rnacentral:rRNA from 1 species
GAUGAACGCUGACAGAAUGCUUAACACAUGCAAGUCGACUCGAGUCUUCGGACUUGGGUGGCGCACGGGUGAGUAACGCGUAAAGAACUUGCCUCUUAGACUGGGACAACAUCUGGAAACGGAUGCUAAUACCGGAUAUUAUGGUUUCUUCGCAUGGAGGAAUCAUGAAAGCUAGAUGCGCUAAGAGAGAGCUUUGCGUCCCAUUAGCUGGUUGGUGAGGUAACGGCCCACCAAGGCAAUGAUGGGUAGCCGGCCUGAGAGGGUGAACGGCCACAAGGGGACUGAGACACGGCCCUUACUCCUACGGGAGGCAGCAGUGGGGAAUAUUGGACAAUGGACCACAAGUCUGAUCCAGCAAUUCUGUGUGCACGAUGACGUUUUUCGGAAUGUAAAGUGCUUUCAGUCGGGAAGAAGUCAGUGACGGUACCGACAGAAGAAGCGACGGCUAAAUACGUGCCAGCAGCCGCGGUAAUACGUAUGUCGCAAGCGUUAUCCGGAUUUAUUGGGCGUAAAGCGCGUCUAGGCGGCAAGGAAAGUCUGAUGUGAAAAUGCGGAGCUCAACUCCGUAUGGCGUUGGAAACUGCCUUACUAGAGUACUGGAGAGGUAGGCGGAACUACUAGUGUAGAGGUGAAAUUCGUAGAUAUUUGUAGGAAUGCCGAUGGGGAAGCCAGCCUACUGGACAGAUACUGACGCUAAGCGCGAAAGCGUGGGUAGCAAACAGG